GAAGCCACAGAUUAGUGUGACACAACAUUUCAAAAACACUGAUGAAGAACUACACUACAGUUGCUGCCUGACAGAGUGUUCCAAAUUGGUAACUUAUGAGGUUCCAUGCUGCUUAGGAUGCUCUCUUUGAAAACGCUGCCUGCUAGGAUAUGAAACAAAGUUUGUAUUUUCUCCAAACCUUUACAUCUUGCAGUCGAUUCCUCCUCUGCGGGUGGAUUGUAAUGAAUCUGCAGUGGAUGCUACAAGCUGGAGGCAACGUGCACAACAAAAAACCAGAAAGAAACAUCACAAUGUUCACUGCAGGGCAACGCUGCAUCGACAAGGAUGGCGGCGCUUCUCCUGAACGAGCUAAGACUAAUGAGACACAAACAGACACACACCUUCAGUCCUUCCUUCAUUCUUCUUCCUCGGUGUAUCUUUCCAUCCUUCACAUUUCAUGGACUCAGUAUAGCAGCUGGCUAUUGCAAAGUGCAUGAGUUAUUGUCAGCG
ensembl:lncRNA